rnacentral:rRNA from 1 species
UACGUAGGGGGCAAGCGUUGUCCGGAUUUAUUGGGCGUAAAGCGCGUGUAGGCGGCUCUGCAAGUCGGAUGUGAAAUCCCAUGGCUCAACUAUGGAAGUGCAUUCGAAACUGCAGGGCUAGAGUUCUGGAGAGGAAGGUGGAAUGCUUGGUGUAGAGGUGAAAUUCGUAGAUAUCAAGCGGAACACCGGUGGCGAAGGCGGCCUUCUGGACAGUAACUGACGCUGAGACGCGAAAGCGUGGGGAGCAAACAGG